rnacentral:rRNA from 1 species
CGUGUAGGCUGCUUGGAAAGUCGGAUGUGAAAGCCCUGGGCUCAACCUAGGAAGUGCAUUCGAAACUUCCAAGCUCGAGUUUCGGAGAGGAAGGCGGAAUUCUCGGUGUAGAGGUGAAAUUCGUAGAUAUCGAGAGGAACACCGGUGGCGAAGGCGGCCUUCUGGACGAUAACUGACGCUGAGACGCGAAAGCGUGGGGAGCAAACA